UCCAUUUUCUACUCUCAUCUGAUAUGACGCUCUGUUGACAGAAAGAUGAUUUAUUUGCUUUUCCACCAUCUCUGCAGAAUUCAUGCUUGUCACAUGGUGAAGUCUUCAUGAUUCACUGGGUUUCUGUAAAAAAAAUGCAUCUCUUUUUCUUCCUUUUUCAUAAGAUAAAUACUUUCUUGCCCAACUGUAUUGCAAGUGAUACACGACAAACAUGGGAUUAAAAAUUAAAACAAAGAUCCAAAAUUUUGUGCUCAUUGGUUGCUUGGUUGUGGUGACAAAAGUCUACUCAGACAUUUGGAAGCACAGAGGUUGCCACAAGGUGUGUCCUAAGUAGAUUUGGCUUGCCACAGGCAGCAUGAGAGAGGAGUGAAGGUUGACUGAUUAUAUGAGAUGAAGCAAGAAACAGGAAGAAGCAAGAAUCAAUGUGAAGUUAAGAAGAGAUUUGACUUGAUGGAUAUCUGUCUCCCCAUAACCAAGCUCUGGGAAGGACAGUUUAACACAAUGCAGAAGACUAGCUUGUUCUUAAAGCGGUGACAAGUAAAUGGUGACAUUGCCAAAUCAUAUCAGUAGGGUCUGGAUCUUCACCACAGGGAUUUGUGACAUCCAAGAAGUCAGCAAACAAAGGGUGGCAUUGCGAGUCUUCCUGUAUUCUGUCAAGGACUUCUCAGUCUUCAUGAUUGCUGUGUUGCUGUGGUGUAGCAGCUGUCUUGUUGCUGAUGUCCAAAGCUAGGGGUGCAUAAUAUCUUCUACUAAACCAUACAAGGUAGGAAUUAUUUAUCUAGUGAUUUCAACUUUAGCUUUUAAACUCAUUAAGAAAACACUACCUAUUCUAUAGGUUCUGGCAAAAAUAUUUCACGUGAUAUCCUCCACUCUUGCUUGUAGUAUUAGUCUACUUUCCACUGAAGUAUUUCUAUUUCUUCAGCCUAACACAAACACAUACAUGUUGGUAUGAUAAGUUGCCUCCAAAAAGGCUGUUUCCACAGUUUGGAGGUGAAUUACACAAAAUAACUGCUUCACUGGGGAAAAAAGCUGAUUUAUUGCUUUAUUGUUUUCAUUUGAAGCCUGAGGCUCUGCAUUCAGAAACAAAAAAGGAACCUAUGCAUCAUGAAAGAGAUGUAUCCAGGGAAUGAGUGCCUCUUUUGACAAGUGUUUCUGACAAUUGACAAACUGUUGCCUGCCAUGUGAAUCCGAGGAGUGACUGAUGUUAGCAAACUCACCUCUCAAUUCCCCUAGAUAGCACUGGAAACCUGAUGGCAGGUAGAGACAAACAUUGCCACUGCUGCCAGGUUGCCCUUCCAGAGACUGUGAGAGAGCUUGGAUAGAAGCUGAGCAGCAAACGUGAGGCUUUCCCAGCAGGUGGCUGGGCAUUCUGAAGAUGCUGGCUCUAAUUAUCAAAUCCUCUGUUUCAGGUGACAAACAGCCCAUAAAUCUGAGCAUCAAGCAUCUGUCCUUGCUAGUGAGCUCUUAAGUUAAUAUGGGUAGAAGAUAUUCUCUCCUAUAACCACCAAAAAAUAUAGGUGAAAAAGUGUUAGUAACUGCUUGUACAAAUCUGGACUUAAGCCUGAACUAUGUCAAUUGGCAUUAAAGUACAUUACUUUUUUUGCAAUGUCAUGUCACCCUGAGAUGCACAACAUGAAUAUACCACCAGCUCAAUGGAACCAAACUUUCCAUUUUCUGCCCAUUUGUGCCCUGCAAAGACAGGCCACAUCAGGAACAACAGAUAUCUUGGUAUCUAUUGCUUAUGCUUCUGCUAGAAUUUUAUUCCUAUUUUGAAAAUGUGAUGGUAUUGUCUGUAUUCUGUCUAACACAUACUAAAACAUUCCUCUGAUGUUAACUGCAUAUGCAGACAUAUAUUAAAUAAAAGCAUGAUUAUUAUUAUUUUUUUUUUUAAC
ensembl:lncRNA